UGCCUUACACAUGCAAGUCGAACGGCAGCACGGGAGCAAUCCUGGUGGCGAGUGGCGAACGGGUGAGUAAUAUAUCGGAACGUGCCAGUCGUGGGGAUAACGUAGCGAAAGCUACGCUAAUACCGCAUACGAUCUAUGGAUGAAAGCGGGGAUCGCAAGACCUCGCGCGAUUGGAGCGGCCGAUAUCAGAUUAGGUAGUUGGUGAGGUAAAGGCUCACCAAGCCGACGAUCUGUAGCUGGUCUGAGAGGACGACCAGCCGCACUGGGACUGAGACACGGCCCAGACUCCUACGGGAGGCAGCAGUGGGGAAUUUUGGACAAUGGGCGCAAGCCUGAUCCAGCAAUGCCGCGUGCAGGAUGAAGGCCUUCGGGUUGUAAACUGCUUUGUACGGAACGAAACGGUGAGCUCUAAUACAGUUUGCUAAUGACGGUACCGUAAGAAUAAGCACCGGCUAACUACGUG
rnacentral:rRNA from 1 species